UGGUACUUUGUAGUGACAUAGUAUAUAAUGUUUAAAGGAGAAUUUAUUAUGUGUUCCUUUCAAAUGCUGAUGUUCUUUUUGGGCUGUUUAUCUGGUUGCUCGGCUAGUGUGGUACUGACUCAGAAAGAAGCAGAAAUCGGAACACCAGGGGCAUCCAUAACCCUGCAGUGUGCAGUGUCUGGAUACAACAUCAAUGAUCACCACAUGCACUGGAUCCGUCAGGCACGGGGAGCAGCACGGCUGGAAUGGUUAGCAGCUUUCAGGACAGGUUAUACAACAUACAUCUCACCUGCUGUAAAAGAUCGGAUGACUCCAUCUACCAGUGGUUCCACUGCCCAGCUGCAGGUUAACCAGCUGCAACUUGAGGACACAGCGGUGUAUUACUGUGCUAGAUAA